CAGCCGCCACGGUAAUACGAAGGGUGCAAGCGUUACUCGGAAUUACUGGGCGUAAAGCGUGCGUAGGUGGUGGUUUAAGUCCGUUGUGAAAGCCCUGGGCUCAACCUGGGAAUUGCAGUGGAUACUGGGUCACUAGAGUGUGGUAGAGGAUAGUGGAAUUUCCGGUGUAGCAGUGAAAUGCGUAGAGAUCGGAAGGAACAUCUGUGGCGAAGGCGACUAUCUGGGCCAACACUGACACUGAGGCACGAAAGCGUGGGGAGCAAACAGGAUUAGAUACCCCCGUAGUCCCUGUUUCUUAUAC
rnacentral:rRNA from 1 species